AGUGUCAGGCGGGCAGUUUGACUGGGGCGGUCGCCUCCUAAAAGGUAACGGAGGCGCUCAAAGGUUCCCUCAGAAUGGUUGGAAAUCAUUCAUAGAGUGUAAAGGCAUAAGGGAGCUUGACUGCGAGACCUACAAGUCGAGCAGGGUCGAAAGACGGACUUAGUGAUCCGGUGGUUCCGCAUGGAAGGGCCAUCGCUCAACGGAUAAAAGCUACCCCGGGGAUAACAGGCUUAUCUCCCCCAAGAGUUCACAUCGACGGGGAGGUUUGGCACCUCGAUGUCGGCUCAUCGCAUCCUGGGGCUGUAGUCGGUCCCAAGGGUUGGGCUGUUCGCCCAUUAAAGC
rnacentral:rRNA from 1 species